rnacentral:rRNA from 1 species
AUUGAACGCUGGCGGCAGGCCUAACACAUGCAAGUCGAGCGAGCGGCGGACGGGUGAGUAAUGUCUGGGAAACUGCCUGAUGGAGGGGGAUAACUACUGGAAAAGCUAGCUAAUAACGCAUACCAUCAGAUGUGCCCAGAUGGGCUUAGCUAGUAGGGGGGGUAACGGCUCACCUAGGCGACGAUCCCUAGCUGGUCUGAGAGGGUGACCAGCCACACUGGAACUGAGACACGGUCCAGACUCCUACGGGAGGCAGCAGGGGGGAAUAUUGCACAAUGGGCGAAAGCCUGAUGCAGCCAUGCCGCGUGGGUGAAGAAGGCCUUCGGGUUGUAAAGCACUUUCAGCGGGGAGGCGUUACCCGCAGAAGAAGCACCGGCUAACUCCGUGCCAGCAGCCGCGGUAAUUC